AUACGUAGGGUCCAAGCGUUAAUCGGAAUUACUGGGCGUAAAGCGUGCGCAGGCGGUUGUGCAAGACCGAUGUGAAAUCCCCGGGCUUAACCUGGGAAUUGCAUUGGUGACUGCACGGCUAGAGUGUGUCAGAGGGGGGUAGAAUUCCACGUGUAGCAGUGAAAUGCGUAGAGAUGUGGAGGAAUACCGAUGGCGAAGGCAGCCCCCUGAGAUAACACUGACGCUCAUGCACGAAAGCGUGGGGAGCAAACAGGAUUAGAUACCCUGGUAGUCCACGCCCUAAACGAUGUCAACUAGUUGUUGGGGAUUCAUUUCCUUAGUAACGUAGCUAACGCGUGAAGUUGACCGCCUGGGGAGUACGGUCGCAAGAUUAAA
rnacentral:rRNA from 1 species